UACAGAGACUGCAAGCGUUAUUCGGAUUCACUGGGCGUAAAGGGUGCGUAGGCGGUCGGGUAAGUCUGGCGUGAAAUCUCCAAGCCUAACUUGGAAACUGCGUUGGAUACUAUCCGGCUCGAGGAAUGGAGGGGAGACUGGAAUACUUGGUGUAGCAGUGAAAUGCGUAGAUAUCAAGUGGAACACCAGUGGCGAAGGCGAGUCUCUGGACAUUUCCUGACGCUGAGGCACGAAAGCCAGGGGAGCAAACGGG
rnacentral:rRNA from 1 species